GGAUGGCUCAAGGGGUAGAGCACAUGCUUAGCAUGCAUGAGGUCCUGGGUUCAAUCCCCAGUGCCUCCU
rnacentral:tRNA from 1 species